UUAUAAAUUUCAGAUUCAUGUGUCCACAU
rnacentral:piRNA from 1 species